rnacentral:rRNA from 1 species
UACGUAGGGGGGCUAGCGUUGUCCGGAAUCAUUGGGCGUAAAGCGCGUGUAGGCGGUCCGGUAAGUCCGCUGUGAAAGCCGGGGGGCUCAACCCUCGGAUGCCGGUGGAUACUGUCGGGCUUGAGUACGGAAGAGGCGAGUGGAAUUCCUGGUGUAGCGGUGAAAUGCGCAGAUAUCAGGAGGAACACCAAUUGCGAAGGCAGCUCGCUGGGACGUUACUGACGCUGAGACGCGAAAGCGUGGGGAGCAAACAGG